GACAGAGGGUGCAAACGUUGCUCGGAAUCACUGGGCGUAUAGGGCGUGUAGGCGGGAAGGAAAGUCAGAUGUGAAAUCCCUGGGCUUAACCUAGGAACUGCAUUUGUGACUGCAUUGCUAGAGUGUGGUAGAGGGAGAUGGAAUUCCGCAUGUAGCAGUGAAAUGCGUAGAUAUGCGGAGGAACACCAAUGGCGAAGGCAAUCUCCUGGACCUGCACUGACGCUCAUGCACGAAAGCGUGGGGAGCAAACAGG
rnacentral:rRNA from 1 species